CUCAAAAUAACAAGGUAUAAUCUCGAGGGUAAAAUACAAUUGUUUCUUCACAAUGUUAGGAUAUUAUUAAUGACAAAUCCUGUAUCAAAGGUGAGUUAGAUGUUUACUAUUCUUAACUAUGUUAAAUAUAAAUAGGCUUACGUGUACGUAUUACCAAAAGCUACUUUCGUUUUUGUUGUAAAUGCCGAAAGGGUUUUACGUUUUCUUUUUGUUUGCAUUUUAUGAAGUGAACAGUGGAGGGAUGAGCUAUUAUUGAAAAUAAAGCAUUCAUAUUUUCACGUUUGCACCAUUUUAUAUUUUGUCAUAUCCGAGACCUUUCAUCGCUUAAUUUGGGAAUGUUGUCCUCUUUUAUUGAAGGCCAUACGGAGCAUAUGUACGUGGGGACAUGUUGGUUUACUGUUGAUUUAACCAAAUUAAUUGAUAGUAAACACAUAACAAAUGUUGUUGUUUUUGUUUUAAUCGUUGUUAACUAAUGAUUUCAUAUAUAAAAUCGAGCGUUGUGAAACAAGACAUUUAAAUAACGGAUCAUCUGAUUGUUUAUAGAAGUCUUGAUUUACACAACACACUACUAAUAGCAUUUACACAUGGCAGUCAAUAAAUACAUGUAGCAGCUUUUCGAAAAAGCUUGCCGUUUUAUAGCUUUCGUGUUAAAAAAUAGUCUAUCUAAUCUUUAUUUCUUUAUAGCAUACAAAUAGUAUUUGUGUUCACAAAUAAAGGCAAAAGUAGUUUACCGCUGUUCGAAAUUAAUGAAUCGAUUAAGAAAAAGCAAAUGAAGGUUACAAACUAAAACUGUUAAAAACGCAUCAAAUAUAAGAGAACGACGCCCAAACAGAAACACAACACACAUAAACGAAUUAUAAUAUAACAAUGGCCAUUUCCGUGACAUGGUACAUGACAUUUUAGGGAAAAAAUGGUAGGUUUAACCUGGUUUUCCGACAUGCCAAACCUCCCGCUAGUAUGGCAAUUUUAAAUAAAACAUUACAAUAACAACCUUACAUAACAAAACUACAAAACAAAUAAAUGGAACAUAUAUUGGACAAUGAACCACACGAAUAAUAGCUAACAAAAGGUACUAGGUUUAAAAUUUAAUACGCCAGACGCGCGUUUCGUCCAUACAUGACUAACGUGUGACGCUCAGUUGAAAAAAGUUUGAGAUAGUGGUUAGGCUUAAGACAAGUGAAAGAUACCUAGGGAACAUUCAAACUCGAUUAUUCACAAAUGAACUGACAACGCCAUGGAUACAAAAGAAAAAAGACAAAUACAAAAACACAUCAGGCGUAAUGACUAUUAACCCUAGGGAAGAGCUAGAGUAGAAUACUCAUUUAUUUACUCUUUGUUUGUAUGUGUGUUAAUGUUUGACAACAAUUUCAUUAAAAUAUUGUAAUAUUUGUCCCGACAAACUAACUCACAAAAUUUGUAUCCCAAUGAAUCUUUAUUAUACCUAUACAAGUGGUUCCCAUAUCGUUCUUCAUCUUCGCUUGACAAUGAUUACGAUCCACUCCAGUUCUCUCCGCCCUUGGCAGAUUAAGCAAAUAUUUGUGAUAUCAAUAUUUCGCCAUCUGUCGGAAGAUAAAAGUCACGCCCAUUCUGAAUACAUUAUUCUUUACCAAUGGUAGCACUUGAACUUUUCAAUUUGGAGGUAAAACACGGUUACGUCUAGGUUCUACACACUUGGUAAAGCUUGAAACGAAAAUAUAAGUCAACAUUCAGGCAUUUGUGCAUGACACAUACAGGAACUUCUGUUACUUGAUUAAAAACAUUCAACUUGUCACUAAAUAUAGUCGCAUGUUUAGUGAUUGUAAGACAUGUGCACAAUAAACACGUGGCAAUUGUUAACAAACAAUAUUUACAUUUACAUGUGAUCAUGUUGAAGGCAAUGUUUGAUUGGAUACAGCGAGUUUCUACUGCAACCAACAAAAAUCCUUACCUUGAUGCUCCGAAAUUUAAUCUCAAUCCGCCAAGGGGGAGAGAACGGGAGUGGAUCGUAAUCCUUGGCUAGCGAAGGUGGUCGUUCUUGAGCAGGCCUAGGGUUCAGUUGAGUAUAUAUAUAUAUUUUUUGCAAAAAAAAUAAAUAAAAGGAGUAAAUAAGAUUUUACAGAAUGGCCUAUUGUCAUGUAAAGUAAAUUCUCGAGUCUGUGACUCUCUGAUUGUUAAUUUCUGUCUCUAUUUCGCUGUUCUUUUUAGGUUUGUCUUAAACCUUUGUAUCAAUCCCAUUAGUAUUCAACUGGUUAUAACUGUUGGUUCCUAGCUACAUGAUCGACACGAAAGGAUAUGGUGUAUCCAUCCAUGAAAUAAAAUCAGUACAUUUCGGGGCCUUUUUAUAGCUGACUAUGCGGUAUGGACUUGGCUCAAUAUUUAAGGCCAUCCGGUGACAUAUAGUUGUUUAUUAUUGGUGUCAGUUGGUCUUUUGUGAAAAAUUAUUUUAUUUGCAAUGCUACCACAUCUGCUUUGAAUAUGCACAACUAAAACAAGUCAGGUAUUGACGUAUGAUGCACUGUAACAUUCCUGUCCAAUGUUAGGGGUAGGUUUGAUAUGUGCCUGUUCGAAAAUUAUAAGCCAGAAUGUCAUUGCUUUCUUUCUUUGCUUUGUAUUGUCUUUUCGUUAUUAAACGUUUUGUACAUAAAUCAAUGACGUACCAUGUCAUUUCGAACUUUUUGUAGCUUUUAAUGUGGUAUGAAUUAAAAAAUACUGAAAGGUUGAUGUUUAUUAUUAACAGCAAAUAAAUCGACAAAUUUAUCAUUUCAAUUUAUCCACAAGUCAAUAAAGCAAUCAAUCGACCAAUACACUCAACGACCUUUUGUACUAAGAAGUUGAAUUGUCACUAUAUAAAUAACAUAUAGCUGAGAGGGUGAUAGAGCAGAUUGGUACCCCGAGAAAACAUUGUCAACUGCGGCGAAGCCAAGGUUGACAAAUCCUUUUCGAGGGGUUCCAAUCUGCUCUAUCACCCUCUCAGCUAUGUGUUAUUUAAUUUAUUAUACUGAAUGUUCUGUUAUUACUGUCGAUUUUUUAAAAUUCAAAGUAAUAAACUGUGACAUUUUGUACAUAACCAUCCGUAUUUAAUAAAGCGCACACUUGAUCAAACGUCUCCGUGAAGGGUAAUAGAGAAUUUGCCAUAGGAAAGUGUCGUAUUGAAUAAAGCGCUAACUUGAUCAAGCGUCUCUGUGAAGGGUGAUAGAGUAUUUGUCAUAGGAUAGAGUCGUAUUUAAUAAAGCGCACACUUGAUCAAGCGUCUCCAUGAAGGGUAAUAGAGUAAAUUGACACCCUCGAAUUAGCCAAUCAAAAUCUGGCAUUUUGACAUGAAGUAUAAUAAAUGAUAUUAUGACAUUAUAACCAACAUAACCAGCAAUCAUCCCAAAAAGUAUAUUUCACUUAAAAAUAUAGGAAAUGUAUCAAUCGAUUUUAAAGACGGGCAUUAUAUUUUUUGUAAGAUAUGUUAUUAAGUACAAAAUAGUUUUCAACAUAAUGUCUAAUAGCAUGAUGAAGUAUAUUAGUUUGUUCAUUUAUAAUACGUUUUGCUUUUUUAAAUAUCAAAAGCAGUUCAAAUCUUCUCCUCUUUCUAAAUUUUACAUAUAGCACGUCAAAAGUACGUUUGUAACAAGUGCUGAUAUCAUUUGGAUUAAAUAAAACAUAAUCUGUCGCAUUAUAUUUUAAGGCAAAAAAAAACCCCGCAUUUCCAUGUAUAUAAAAAACAGACACAGUGUUAUUGCUAAAGACCAAAAUACCAAACAGAUAGCAAAUUUUUCAAGUUUAAACAACCAGUUCAUUUCUUUGAAUUAGUUUAUAUUAGCAAUCAUGUGUUACAACCAAACAGCAAAUGUCGAUAUCUUCUCUUAACAUGAUUAAUAAAUGUAUCAUACUGUUGUUAUCAGAUAUAUAUAUGAUCACGAAGGUAACACUUUUACAAAUGGCUUAUUUUGCAGGACUAAGGGUUUGUUUUAUAAAUUCUACAUAAUUUCUCUUAUUAUUUAUUUUUAAAUAUUUCCUUGUAGUGUCGUGACAUAUAUGGCCUCCUUCUCCAACAGUUGUGGUGUGUGUGACCUCCGACACAUUACCAAACAAUCCAUAGUCUGGUGCACGGAAUGUGAUGAAGCACUUUGUAAAGAUUGUCAGGAACACCAUAGUUUGUCCAAGGGAACCAAAAACCAUAAAACUAUAGCAAUUACGGAAUACAUGAACUUACCUAAUGAUGUACUCAGAAUAACUCAAAACUGUGUCAAACACCAAGAAAAGUUUAUUAUUUAUUGCCGGAUUCAUGAAAGUCCCUGCUGUGGAAAGUGUGUAAUUGAAAGCCACAAAGAAUGCCGGGAUAUCGAAAAUUUAGAUGAUGUCAUUAAAAAUGUCAAAACUUCAAAUGCUGUAUACGAGAUCGAGGAAACAUUGGUUGAAGUAGCAGAAAAUUUACAGAAAAUCCGUCAACAACAACAAAAAAAUCUGUCGACAUUAAAAGUGAAAAGAAAAGAAAUUGAGAAAGAUAUUCGAAAGACCAGAGCAACGAUCAACAACCAUCUAGACAAACUACAGGAAGAUUUAUUGAAACAACUUGAUGCCGUUGAAGAAAGAGAAAACUUAAAUAUGUGUCAGUUGUUGUCUACAUUAGAAAAGAAAGAACAAGAAGUAUCAGAUAAACAGAGAAACCUUGCGAACAUAAAACAGUAUGCAUCAGAACUUCAGCUGUUUCUUUCAAUUAAGCAAAUCGAAGAAGACAUAUCUAGGAAAGUAAAUAUCCUGAACUCACUACUCCAAGAAGAAAAUUUAAAGAACAAUUUCCUAGAAUACAAACUCAACACUGCUAUUCAGAACAUCUUGACCGAUAUCAAAAGUUUUGGAGAUAUCCACAUUGAAGCAAAACCGUGUGAAAUUGUUAUUAGCAGAAAGAAAACCAAACAAGCACAAAUAAUGGUACCGGUUGUUCCAUCAAGAUCAAUUGAAAGUAUAAAACUGAAGAAAAUCAAGACAAUACAAAAUAAAGGAAACUUUACCUGUGGAUGUUGUAUGUUACCAGAUGGUAGAAUGGUGUUUACUUACUACUUAAAAUCGGCAGUAGAAGUAUUCAGCGUUACAGGAUUUAAAGAAUUCGAGGUCAAGACGCCAUGCAACGCGUUUGAUGUAGUGUAUAUCAGUGAUAACAAUGCAUUAGCUGUUACAUAUGGUGGUUCAGAGAAGAAAUGUAUUACCAUUAUCGACUUGGAGAAGAAAGAAAUAAAGAAAACAAUUACACUGGAUUCGUAUAAUUAUGGAAUAACACUGAAAGAUAGUCAAUUAAUCUUUUCGGGACAUGACAAAGGGAUAAGAAUGAUCAAUCCAUGUGACGAGUCUACAAGUACCAUAGUCAGAGAAGAAGUGCCGAGUGAGUGUUACAUUGCAACUUUUGGAAACCGAAUAUAUCACACAAACCGUCUGAUUCAUACCGUUACUUGUUAUAAUCAGCAAGGUAAACCGCUAUGGACUUUUCAUAACAAAAGCAUUCUGAAGUCUCCCUAUGGUAUUGAUGUAGAUACGAAUGGUAAUUUGUAUGUUGCUGGAUCUAACUCGAACAAUGUUGUAGUUAUCUCCCCUGACGGACAACAACAUAGAGAAGUGUUGGGAACAAGUGAUGGUCUGUCACAACCGAUGUCACUUUGUUAUAACAAAUCAAAGAAUCAGUUGCUCGUUUCUAACUUUCAAACCGUGGCUCAAUUGUUUGAUUUUGUUUGAAACUAUUACUCGAAUAUUGCCUCUUUCAUAAUGUAUUCUUCUCAUUGUAGAUAUUCGUAUCGAGCAUUUUCCUCGGAGUGCAGUUUUUUUAGUGGUUUUACUUUUUACGUUUAAAUUUCUAAAUUUUGAGAUGAUUUGAAAACAAGAU
rnacentral:lncRNA from 1 species